rnacentral:lncRNA from 1 species
CUGGCAUGCUGCUAACCAGAACAAGUUUGAGAACCAAUGAAGGAAUGACAUGUAGUGUAGAUCCAAAGAAUCCAGAAUUAAUUCGUGUUGAAGGAUAGCAGUACAAUACUCCAUUCUUGGGUGAGAAAAGAAGAACAUCUCAGUCUCAGGUUUUCCGUUAUUUCACAAUUUCAAUUUCUUUAAUAUUUAUAUAUAUAAUUUUUCGGUUUCUUUUCACCUUAUAGUUAAAAAUAUUUACAUGAAAUGUGCUUCUUUUUUUUUAAAAUUAUCUUGUGAUAUUUACAUUGUGCUAUUUUAUUACUUCCAUUUGUUAGCCUACUUGCAAAAAAGAUGGUGAACAAAAGUCUAAUUUUUUGGUGACGAUCGCCUUCCUCUUCCAACGUCUUACAAACCAAUUGAUAAUCCACUAAAAUAAGAUAGCAGAAGACCUAGAUUUCGUUUAGAAAAGUUACGAGAGAUGGAGAGAUGGAAAGCUGGAAGAGAAAAUAUCAAUAACUAAAACAUAAUCAUAUAGAGGGUGAAGCAAAUCAAAAAUCGAUAAAUGUGAGUAAUAACAGAUCAAGUGAUAUACCUUCAGGUUUUCCUUUUCUGAUCUACAUGGGGUAGGUGCAAAGAAGCGAGAUGGAAAAUAUCAAAGGGUUGGUGCUUGUUGAGAAAACAACUCUAUGUCUAAAUUUGACAUAGCAUAUUACAAGUGAGAUUCUGUGGAAUUAUUGUGGACGGCAUGGGAGGAUUGAAGGCAUUAUGAUUCAUAGAAAAAGGGGAAGCAGAGCUAAUUACUUAUGGUUUGUAAAAUUUGAGAAAAAGACAAAUGCAUUCGAGGCACAAAAAUGGUUGUUUAGAAGAUGGAUUGUUAAUCGUAGAGUUUAUAUUGAGUUUGCAAGAAGGGAAAUGAGAUGUCAGAAAGAACUUCCAUUGCAUGUGAAGUAUAAAGUUGUAAAGCAUAACGAGAAAAUGAGGGUUCCUUCAAUGAAGAAACUUGCAGAUCUACCAAAUGAAGAGGUAAAAAAUUGUUAGAAUAGUUGCUGGAUUUUUGUUAGCAAGGAGAAACUAGCUCUAAUGGAUAUGAAAAUUUGUAUAUUAAAUUCAAAAAUGGCAUUAUGAAUAUUGUAAAGUGGGGGGUUAAUGGGUUGAUUGUAGUGAGUGCUAAUGAGGAGGAAAGUCUUAAAGUGGAGCAUGUAGGUUUGAGAAUUUUUUUGUUGAAGUGGAGAAUUUGGGCAUUGAGUUUGCGAAGAAGAUUGAUGUAGCAAGUCGUUGAUUCAAACACACAAAAGGAAGGUCAUUAACUAACAAAUUAUGCUUUCAUUUGGGGAUGAAAUAUACCGUCUUAAAGUCGAGUUAGAACAACAGGAAGGUGAAUAUUGAUUAAGUGGUGUUGGUAUGUGGUGUAGGGAGGAGACAAACAAACAGUGUUGAUUUUUCUGUCUAAUGGGCUUGAUCAUCUGACAAAGGGUAAUAGGUGUUCGAAUGCAGCUUUGUUAGCAAAUAGUAAUCAAAAUGAGGCUAGAUCUUUAUUUUGUAUUAUUGUGCUUGAUUGACCCUUAAUUGAUCUGAAUGGCCUGAAACUGAUUUGGUAAUUUAUUCAGCUUGUUUGUUUAGGUUAGAUAAAGGUUUGGAUGAGUCAAAAUGGUUCUGACAGAAUUAGCUAAAUUUGCUCAAUUUAUUCGGCCAGUUGGCCAAUUUAAUGAAAUAUUUACAUAAAUUCAUUUUCACAUUAAAAAAAUUACUUUGAUAUCUAAUUAGCGAUUACUCUAGUCUCUGGACUUAAUAAAGGAAUUAAGCUAAGUCGUUGUGCACCACCUGUCUCACCCCUCUUUUUUGCAUAUGUUUGCAAUAUUUACUUCCCAAAUGAUCUCUGUACUUGUCUCCGUAUGAAGGAAAUUUUCGAGGGAUAUUCUAAAGCCUCAGGAAUAUUAAUAAAUUUUCAAAAAUUAGGCCUUUUUGUUAGUCCAGCAGUUCUGGACACUCAUGCUACUCUCUUUCAGGAUAUUUUUGAUAUUGGCUCCAUACCGGUGUCUCAAAAAUAUAUUGGAGUGCCUUUUACUCUUACUUGCAACAAGAAGUAAGAUUUCUCAUUCUUCAAGGAUAAACUUGGGCAUAAACGUCAAACAUGGAAAUCAAAACUGUUAAAUGCCAGCUGGGCACUAUGUUCUUCUUAAAUCCACUCCGGCUACCAUACCUAUAUAUAUUCUUGUCUCUUGGUGCAUUUAUUUUACCCUCUACCUUGAUUCAUGAGCUUCACUGUAUUGUCAGAGCAUUUUGGUAGGGUCAUGAUCAAUUCCGCACACAUUGGAUUGCCUACGAUAAGAUUAGUCGUCUAAAAUUUGAGGGAGUUCUAGGCGUUCGGGAUUUUUCCUGUUUGAAUAUGGCCCUUCUUGCCAAACAUGUUUGGCCUUAGUUGGAAAGUCCUAGUUCUUUGCUGGCUUCUAUUCUUUUGCCCAAAAUUGAAUUUUCUCCAUUCUAAACUUAAACUUUCCGACUCUUGGGUAUCGAAAGGAUAAAAGAAUUUUUUUAGUUCAUCUCAUUAUACCAAAUAAAAGUUAAAAUGUUUUUCAAAUAAAAGCUAAAAAGUUGACUGAUUGAUUAGGACUUGAAUUUGCAUUUGUGUUUUAUUUUGAUUUAAAAUUUGUCGCCAUAUUAAUUUUUAUUUGAAUGCAAACAAAUUGGUAUGAACUAUGAAUUGAUUGCUAAUAUUGAUAAAGAAACAUAGAAAGAAUGAAUCCAUUAAGAUCACAAUUAAAAUGAAAUCAAUCUGUAACCAAAACAGAUCAGAAAUUAAUGUGGAGGCUGUGAUAUCACGAUGUAGAGUUGGAAUAAGAUAUUUUUGAGUUCCUUGCUCAUGAUGCGUUUGUUCAUAUUAGAUCUUCUCUUUCAAAUUUACGUUGCAAUGUGGUACUAUAUUUUUCAAGAAAAUAACUAUGUUUUACUAAAGUUACAAUGCCUUUUGAAAGAACUUUCUAAAUUAGGAGUAUAGUAAUUUUAGCAACUUCCGUUAUAUUUUUGGGAGAGGGGGAAUGAAAAUUGAACCACAGUAUUCUACUAUCUGCGGGGUAUGUUUUCUGAAGAAGAUUUAGCCAUAUACCAAUAAAAUAUUUAAUUAUUACAUCAGGCUUCUCUUUUUAAAAAUUUAGACGAGUUGGUAAGUUUUCUUUUAAAAAAAAUUAUAUCAAUUGGCGAUUGUUUUAUAAUGAUAAUAACAUUUUAAAAAUCACAAAAAGAGAAUAUUUUAUAAUGAUAAUAUAUAUAUAUAUAUAUAUAUAUAUAUUAAUUUAUCAUACUAAAAUAUUUUAGACUAAAAUUCAAUUUGCACCCCAAACUUUUUCUUGAAAAUUGAUUUGGACCCUAAAUUUUUUUUUCCGACUAAAUGCAUCAAAAACUUAAUCACAGACAAUUAAAUGCACACUUUGCUCGUUUUUCUGGCCAAAGCUUCACCGGAAGUUUGAUGACAUCAUAGAGUCAGGUGCAUUAUACUCAUAUCACCUCAAUUUUUGAAUGGUUAUUUUAUUUCCACAUGCUUGGAAGCUUGGGCAAAAAAGGGGAUUACCCCACUGACAUUUGCAGCGGCUGAGAAAGAAGAAAAGCUAGGGUUUCAAAAACUUAUCAAAAAAGCAUCGAUUACGAGGUAAAAUUAAGGUUUUUAUUGAGUUUUUGUUUUCUAGGGUUGGUGUGAAUCAAGCGUUGAUCUUACAUGGCUGCAUCACGUUCAAGAUUUGCUCCAGAACAACGGAUGUGUUUUUGUGAUGUUUCAACUCGAAUUUGUGUUUCCAAGAAGGAUGAAUCAAGAGGAAGAAGAUUUUAUGGCUGCCACAACUAUUGUUGUGAACUCAGUCUUCUCUCUCAUCUGUUUUGACUUUUUCCUAACUCAAUUUUUGAUAGGAAUUUGGGAGAGAUUGUGGCUAUUUUGAAUGGUUGAAAUUUCCUCUUUCUGAUAGAGAAAAACUCAAAGCUAAAGGACAAGGUUAAAAAUAUGAGAAGGGAAGCAUUUAAAUGGGAGAUGGAGGUUGGGCUUAAAGAAGCAAAGUCAAAACUAAUGUUGUGCAGUGUAUUAUCAUAGUUGGUCACUUAGUUGAAAUUUUGUCAUAUAUUUACAUUUCUAUGAUGUAAUUGUAGUUAAAUGAUGAUUAUAAUGGUUGAAAAUGUUUGAAAUAAAGAAAAUGAACAGAGCACCAUCAGACAGAUCGUAGAGUGAAACGUAGAGUGAAUUCUCAGAUCGUAAAAUGACUUAACUCUACGUUUCUACGAUCGUAGAGUGACUUAACUGUACAAUACUAGACUUCAGUGUAGAAACGUAGACUGAAUCCUCAGAAACGUAUAUUAAAUCCUCAGAUCGUAGAAUGACUUAACCCUACGUUCCUACGAUUGUAGAGUGAAUCCUCAUAUCGUCAUACUCUACAUUUCUAAACUGAAGUCAAGUAUCGUAAAGUUAAGUCACUCUACGUUGCCUUUUUAACCCUGUGGGAAAUUCUACAAAUGAGAUAUUUUCAAAAUAUUGUCAUUUUAUUCAUUUCAAACAGAUUACAACACAAUUGAUGAAUUACAUCAUAGCGAUGAAACUACAAUUCAUCCAUUACAGUCCUCAUUUAACUACAAUUACAUCAUAACAAUGCAAAUACAUGACAAUUCUUCUUCAUUUAACUACUUUGAGUUUUUCAACCUCUGCUUUCUUUAUGCCCAAUCAUCUUUUGUCUCCAAUCUCCCAAUUAAUCCUGGAAUCACUGCUCUUGCACGGUCAUAGAAUCGGGGAUCGAUCUAUUCGAAGAAGUUACAUCCACUCCUAACACCUCUUUCUUCCUACAAAACGAUUUAUAGUGUCAAUUGCAAAACAUAUUUACCAUUUAAGACAAAAAAUCUAGAAGAAUACCCUCUAAUCAAUGCAACCAAAUAAUCUUCUCCUUGUGGGUUUUCCAAGCACAUUUCAUCACCAACGACUUCUUACAAUAGCAGAAUCGAUCCAUGCACUUUUCCUUUCGAUCACAACCUUUCAAUUUGUUUGAAAAUCGAUUACAUUCCUUCAAUUUGGUAAAAAAUUGGACCAAGUUCUUCAAUAUGGAGGGUAAAUCGAUUUUUAGGGCUUCAUAUAAGAUGCAAAUUUGUUUUAAUGGCGGGAAGAGUGAUAUUUUACCUAAAUACCUUCAUAGCUCACACACUUUAAGCUUUCCGGUGAAGAUUUGGCCAAAAAACGAGGAGUGUGCACUUAAUUGUCUGGAAUUAAGUUGAGGAUGCAUUUAAUAAAAAAAAAGGGUGAAAAUCGAUGUUCGGAUAAAAUUUUGGUGUGCAAAUUGAAUUUUAGUCUAUAUUAGACUAAUUGCAUCAUUUUAAAAAUUUAAACCCCUCCACUCACCAAAUGCACCAAAACCAACCUAUUUGGAUUGAAGGAAUGAUAAGGACGAAAUUGAAUGAUUUUAAGGUAUUUUAAAUGUAUGUUUGAUUGUUGGUAGUGAUGAGUGUUAUCAUAUAAAAACAAAAUUAUUUAUUCUACUUUUUUCGUAUAUAAUAUAAAAAUAAAAGGAUUGAAUAAAUUUUUGUUUUAUCCAAAUAGACCGGUUUAUCCUCCAAAAAUGAUUUAUUUUUAUUUCAUUCUCCUUUUUCCAUUCCAAACGUAGUAAUAGGCUAAUAACACAAUUUUUUUCUCACGUGGCUCGCAGUCGAAGAUCAGAGAUCGGAUAUGGGGAGGGGAAGCCUUAUUCAGGGGGUUGCUUUCACUUUCAGCUCCAAAUACUUUAUCAGCAGGUAAAUCUCUCAAUUUCUGCUUAUUCAAUCCAGUUUUCAUUGUCCGUAAUACUCCAUUUCAUACAUCUACUGCUCCAAAAUUGACAAACCCUAACCCUAAUCCAAGCGUAGAAGCAGAGAUUCUCUGCAGCAAUUACUGCAGGAGAAAUACAAAUCUGGGUUUGAUAAUCUCGAUGAUGCUCUUCUUUUAUUCGAUCGUAUGCUUCAAAUGCGACCUCUCCUUUCUGUAAUUGAUUUCAACAAACUAUUAGCGGCUAUCGCAAAAAGGCAAAAAGCACUUUUUGGCCACUGUGGUUAUAGUGAUUUAACGAAAUAGCCACUGUGCUUUUAAAAUAUUCAAUUAGCCCACUGUACUUUUUAAAAAUGUUCAAUCAGGCCAUUCUGUCCAUUUUUUGUAACUGCCGUUAACAGAUCAGCAAGAGUUUCUUACGUGUCUUUUUUGAAAAUAAAAUAAAAUACGUGGCAUAUGCUUAAUUACAUAGUAUAUCCUUAUGUGGCAACAAAUUUUUUUUUUAAUGAAUUUUCUUUAUAAUUUUUUCUUCUCAAACAAAAAAAUAAAAUAAUAAAAUCAUUAUGUAGUAAAAAUAAUAAUUAAAAUAAUAAUAAAAUAAAAAUUUGUAUUAUUUGGAAUUAAUUUUUAAUAUUAUAAUAUUUAUAAUAUGUAUAUUUUAUUUUUAAAAUAAAAAUACUUUUAUGUUUUAAAAUACUUAUAAAAUUUUUAAAAAUAAAAAUAUUUUUAUGUUUUAUUUUCUUGUUUUUUCUUUAUCUUAAUAUUUAUAAUAUGUAUAAUAUUAAUAAAAAUUAAUAUUAUAAUAUUUAUAAUAUGUAUGUUUUAUUUUAAAAAUAAAAAUUCUUUUACGUUUUAAAUUUUUUAAAAAUAAAAUUAUUUUUAUGUUUUGUUUUCUUUCUUUUUCUUUACCUAAAUAUUUAUAAUAUGUAUAAUAUUUUUCUUUCUUUUUCUUUUCAUUUUAUCUCUUCUAAAUAAUACAAAUAAUAUAUCAAAAUUUUUGUAUCAAUGAGAUCUAUUAGUCUAUUACAACAUUAUAUUAAUUUCUACAAAAAUAAUAAAAAAAAUUAUUCAUUACGUGACAAAAAAUAAUUAAAAUAAUAAUAAAAUUAAAAUAAAUAUUUUAAUUCAUUUUUUUAUUUGUAUAAAAAGUAAGUACACAAUUAUUCAGCUGUAGCUGUAGCUAUGGAACUUGGAAGCAUGAAGAAAUUUCUCUUGCAAGCAGUAGCUAUGGAUCCUUGACUCUAAUGAUGCUAUUCAGAAUGAUGACGGAGAUGAGACAUGGAUUAUUCCGUCAAAAUAUUCAUCUGGGAUUCAAUAUAUUGUUUGUAUGUCAGAAAGAAAACCCAUUUGAAUUUAGAGAGUGAAAGAGAAAUCCCAUUAGUAUUUCUUCUCUUCUGGUAGUUUUCAUCAGUCAUUAAUGGCAGCUUCGAAGAUAUUGAAGGAGGAGAGAAUCGGAGGAGAGAUAGUGACGAUGAUUUUGAUGAGGAGAGAAUGGAUUUGGGGAUUUGAAUGAGGGAUUUGGUAUUUGGGGGAUUUGAAUGAGAUAUUUUGAUUAUUUGUAUUAUUUAGAAUUAAAAUUGAUUAUUUGUAUUAUUUAGAAUUAAAAUAAUUAAAAGAAAGGAAAAGAGAUAAAAGAAAAGAAAAAAUUAUAAAAAAUGGCUGACUGGCUUGCCACAUCAGAAAAUAAUAAAUUUUUGAUUUUUUUUUCAAUGCCACGUGUAAAUAUUUAACGUCCGUCCAAGAAAUUGGACGGAAUGGCUUGAUUGUACAUUUUUAAAAACUACAGUGGGCUAAUUGAAUAUUUUAAAAGCACAGUGGCUAUUUCGUUAAAUCACUAUAACCACAGUGGCCAAAAAGUGCUUUUUGCCAUCGCAAAAAUGAAACACUACUCCGUUGUUGUCUCUCUGUUCAGAGAUAUUUGUGCUUUAACAAAUCCGGCAGUUCCGAUAAAUGUUGUUACCAUAAAUACCCUUAUAAACUGUUGUUGUCACUGUAAUCGAGUCGAUUACGGGUUUUCUCUAUUGGGUUUUAUCUUCAAACGUGGUUUCGUGCCAAGGGUGUUCACCUACACCACCAUGAUAAGGGGGCUUCUUUCAUCAAAUAAGUUUUUGGAGGCUGAGGAAUUGUUCAAGAAGUUGACAAGGACAAGAGAAAUUGAACCUGAUGCAAUUAUGUAUGGGACUAUUAUAAAUGAGCUUUGCAAAAUAGGCAACACUUCCAUGGCCAAUAGGUUGCUCAAAAUAAUGGAAAAAGGAAGUUGUGAACCAUAUACUGUAGUUUAUAGCACCAUCAUUGAUAGUUUGUGUAAGGACAAACUAGUAGAUGAUCCUUUGGAUCUUUUCUCUAAAAUGAUUGGUAAAGAUAUAUCGUCAAAUGUUUACAGCUAUAGUUCAUUAAUUCAAGGCCUAUGCAACUUUGGUCGAUUGACAGAGACUGAACGAAUGUUAAGAGAGAUGGCCAACAUGAAAAUCUCUCCAAAUAUGCAUACAUUCAAUAUACUGGUGGAUACGCUUUGCAAGCAAGGUAAUGUAAAAGAAGCAGAGCAUGUGGUCGGACAAAUGAUUCAAAGAGACGAGAAUCCUAAUGUAGACAAUGCGCUCAUGGAUGGGUAUUGUUUGCGAGGCGAAAUGGAUGUAGCAUUGGCAGUGUUGAAUAUCAUGAUGAAUGAGGGGAUAGUUCCCGAUACUCAUAGCUAUAACAUUUUGAUAAAUGGAUAUUGCAAGAAACCGAGAGUAGAAAAAGCUGUGGAUCUCUUUCGAAAAAUGCCACGUGAAGGUUUGAAACAUACAGUUGAAACUUACAACACUAUUUUGCAUGGGUUAUUUUAGAUGGGUAGAUAUGUUGAUGCACGGAAUUUUUUAAUGAGAUGCAAGCUCAAGGCCAUAGACCAGAUAUUUUUACUGGCAACAUCUUGUUAGAUGGUCUUUGCAAGAACGAGUAUGUGGAUGAAGCAUUGUCCUUGUCUCAUGUGAUGGAAUGUAAUGGUUUAAUUCCAAAUAUUGUUACUUAUAAUGUCCUCAUUGAUGGAUUGUGCAAAGAUAAAAAGCUUGAUAAGGCAAGAAAUCUUUUUGAUAGCCUUCCUUCUAAAGGGUUGCAACCAGAUAUUAAGACAUACAGAAUGAUGAUCCCUGGACUUUGUCAAGAAGGACUACUGGAGGAAGCAAAUGAACUACUUGUGGAAAUGGAAGCUAAUGAGUGUUUGCCAGAUGGUGCCACUUACAACCGUGGAUGUUUUUGAAAUAUGAAGUAUAAUGACGCAAUUUUACUAAUAGAAAAAAUGGUUGACAAGGGCUGCUCUGCAGAUGCAUCUACCUCCUCCAUGGUCCUGGAUCUACUCUCAAAGAAAGAACACGAUCCGACUUUAUUUGCUAUGCGUCAGAAGUUCUUUCCUUCAUGUAGAUGACUUGCAUCAUUAGGUCGUUUGAUUACGGUGCAAACUCCAGGCCAUAUGUCAGUUUUAAAUGUUUUCCAUUCUCUUCUUUGUAAGUAAAGCUUCUAGACUGGACAGUCAAAUAAGAGAUUCUAGAUUUUCCUUGUUGGUACUCUGUGUAUAUAUGGAAAGGUAUAUAAUGUGCUGUCAUGGUAUUGUGUACUGGACCAUGGUAUUCUUUUCUUUUUGCUCAAAAGUGCAUACCUGGAUAUUGCAAGAAGCUCUCGUUGUCCUGCAUCAACUUUUUUCCAUUUCCUCUUACUCUUUUUGGAGUUUGUUUACUAUUUUUGCGAGGUUUAUGCAUUAUCUAUAUCAUGUGUGUGCGUGAUUUGCAGCCUUAUUGUGAUGCUAUCUUAUUAUUUAACAUUGUGCUAUCUUAUUAUUCGUACCUAUUUACCUGCUACUGAAUACUAACAUUGUGACAAAAACACAAUUUCUUAAGAUCAAAAAGUAAACUACUAAGUUGCGGACACAUUUUGGGCUCAAAACAUGAAACGUGAUUAUUCUUAUAAUUUGGUAAAUUUGUUUGUGCUCUUUGGUAGAUUCAGGGCCUGAGGUUUGCAAUUAACAGCCUUGGUAAAGAGAUCCCCAUGAUGAAUAAAAGGUUGUUGCAAUAGACCUUUCGAUAAAUAGAUAUUGCAAGAAGCUGAAAGUAGACAAAGUUAUGCAUCUCUAUCGACAAGUGCCUGAUGUGUUAAAAAUAUGUACUGCAAGUGCACAAUGUCUAAUUGAAGAUCUGGCAAGUACAGGUCGAACCCACAGAGACUAGAUUAAUUCUUUAAUAUAUCCUUAAUUAAUAUUUUAGGCAAAUUAGAAACAAAAAUGGUGGAGAAGAUUUUUUAACUAAAUUAUGCAAACUAUUAAUUAAUAAUGAAAACUAUUAAUGAGAAAAGAUAUCUAGGAAUUAGAAUCCACCAAACAUUAACAUAAUAAAUAAUUUCUUAUUUCCUAAAUCAAUUCCUAAAUUAUUUCCCCUUCCCUUUAAAAAUAAUGAUUCAUAUAAUUAAUAUGGGCAAGCAUAAGUUAUGAAAAAUUCACAGAUUAACUAUAACUUAUCAAAACCUCGCAAUCAAUAUAAAAAUCAUAUGCAAUUUAUGCGGAGGAAAAUAUGAAGGCGAAAAUAAUUAGGCAUUAAUUUUGGAACGGAAAGAAAAUAUUAUUAUGAAAUACUUAGUUUCAUCAUAAUCCUAGGUAUUAGAAAUUUAGCUAGCCAUGGAAUUAAAAACAAAAACAAAUAAUAUUAGUACUACUAUUCGCAUGAAAUAAGAACAAUAAUUAAAAAGAGAAUUUCUAUUAUAUAAAUAAAAGAAAGUGACAAAUACUCCCUGACAGUAGUACCACAACUGAUUGGAAUAAGAGAAAGGACAAACUCUAAAUAUCUUACUCCUUCCUACACUAGUGAAAAACUGAGAAAAAGAAAAUAACAAGUGGUGCCUUUCUCUCUAAAACAAGAGGCCUAUUUAUAGGGAAAAUAACUUUGAACCCUAAUUUAGAUUCAUUGAACUUGGACACUUUGAUUCCCUUUCCAUGUAGGAUUCAACUUCCUAGUAGCAAUCAACUUCUCAAAAAGAUCUUCUAGAUAGACUUUUCUUUCUCUUGUUGGAUUUGACUUGCACACUAAGAUUGUUCCACCUCUUUCCUUCUCCUUGUAGGAUUCUUCUUGGACAUUCCUUAUAUGAAUAAGAGCAUUAAAUAUCGCUUGAUCACCAAGAUUUUGACUUUAUUGCAACAAACAUUAAAUCCUACAAAAUAAAAUAAAACAUAUUAAUUUAAUAAACUAAUAUAAUUAAAAGGACAAAAUUAGGGAUAAUUAAAUGUAUGAAUUACGUGUCUAUCAAAUACCCCCAUACCUAGCUUUUGCUCGUCCUCGAGUAAAAUAAAAAUAAAAUAAAACAAAAAUUACACUACCUCAUUUUCGUAGGAAACACAAUUGCACUUAGCAUGUGCAACAAGCCUUUAAACUCCAAGGUUACCCCAAGUGGACGAGUUGUGUCUCGUGAGGGUUUGCAAUGAAUAUACCCACAAAAUUUAAAAAUAUUUUUGGGUUUAACAAAUUAUGAAAUUGAAAGAAAACUUUUAAAUAUCUAUGGGCAUUAUACAUAAGCAAGAUUAAAUUCAAAAUCACACUUUUAUCUUAUCAAAAAUACUCGAUCUUCAUUUUAGACACCAUCCUUCAUUAAAUCAAUUCCAUGUGAUGCAUGCAUGUGUAUGUGAUGUAACUCUUAGUAGGAUUUUUACCAUGAAAAUCAAGCAAGCUCAUUUUUCUUUGUCUUUCUUUUUUUUCCUUCCUUUUCUCCAUUUCUUUUCAAUUUUGAUUCUUGAUUUGUGUAAUGUCUCAUUUUCUCAAGCUUUUCAGAAUUACCCAUGUAGAGCGAGCGUUGGACCAAUGACUCCCAAACCAGAUGGCUUUAGGGCACUAGGUGUAGAGACUUCCCUAAGGAUUUACUAACUCGAGUAACAAAGGCCACAAAAUUAGACUAGUCAAACUGCUUUUAUCCAUCACACUUUUCAGCGUGAAUAUCGAUGCUUCCCGAGGCUUGGAUAUCCAGUUAUUUCGUUUAAUGGACAUUGAAGCAGUUAUUUAUUCCUUCCUUUUUUUUCUACUUUUCUCAACUUCAUUUUUUUUCUUUUUAUUCUUUUUAUUCUUUCUUCUUUUUUUCUUCUUUUUUUUUUCUUUUUGAAAUUACUCGAAUCAUGGUUUAUACCCCACAACUAAGAAUUAGUGCAAACGUGAAGUGCAAAAAUGCUUGUGAAAUCAAUUUUAAAUUCAGAUGGUGUUUUGAACUAAGAUUUCGUAUCUUAUCAAAAAAUCAAGAGUUCUAAAUCUUUCAAUCUCACUCAUGCGUUUUGCUCCACAAACACUUAUUAGAAUUAAUUCAAUUCAAAAAAAGUCGAACAAAAUUUUUUAAUUUUUUAAUUUUUUUUUUGUGUUUUUAUUUUGUAAAAAGAAAAAAAAAUAUAAUACAAACAAACUCACCCAUACCUAAAUCAUGCAUUGUCCUCAAUGUAUGCAAAUGAAUAAAAGAGAACAAAGAUAUGAAAGAAUUAUACCUUGGACGAUGAGGCAGAAACUAGAUGACAAUAUUAUACAAAGAAGAAUAUACGUACAAACUAACAAAAACAAGUGCAUUACCAAUCACGCUGAAUCAGGUGGGUCAACAAGGUAUACCACCUCCUCCGGUUCGGUCGGCAUUUCUAAAAAGGGUUUGAGUCGUUGACCAUUCACUUUGAAAAUUUCUCCACUCUUUGGAUUUUCAAUAUCUACUGCCCCAUGAGAGUAAACUAUCUUCACUACAAAAGGUCCAUCCCAUCUAGAACGCAAUUUGCCAGGAAAUAAAUGUAGCCUAGAAUUAUACAAGAGAACUUUUUGACCAGGUGAAAAUGAUUUUCUCAAAAUUGAUUUAUCAUGAAACACUUUUGUUCUUUCCUUGUAAAUUUUAGCAUUUUCAUAUGCAUCAUUCUUAAUCUCAUCUAACUCAGCUAAUUGCAAUUGUCUAUGACUCCCACCAGUGGACAUAUCAAAAUUCAACUGUUUUAUGGCCCAUAAAGCACGAUGUUCAAGUUCAACAGGUAAGUGACAAGUUUUCCCAAACACAAACCUAUACGGUGACAUUCCUAAAUUAGUCUUAAAGGCAGUACGGUAAGCCCACAAUGCAUCUGACAAUUUUAGAGACCAAUCUUUUCUAUUAGAACUCACCGUUUUUUCCAAGAUUUGUUUUAUUUGCCUAUUUGAGACUUCUACUUGACCACUUGUUUGAGGGUGAUAUGAUGUUGCAAGCUUGUGGGUGAUGGAAUACUUUUUUAGCAAGGAUGAAAAAGGCUGAUUGCGAAAAUGUUUGCCUUGAUCACUGAUUAUGGCCCUAGGGGUACCAAAGCGAGAGAAAAUAUUCUCUUUCAAAAAUUUGACAACAACCUUGUUGUCAUUGGUCUUGGUUGGUAUAGCUUCUACCCACUUAGACAUGUAAUCCACCGCAAGUAAAAUGUACAGAUUUCCAAAAGAAUUUGGAAAUGGGCCCAUGAAAUCGAUUCCCCACACAUCAAACAAUUCAAUGACCAGAAUAGGUUGCAUUGGCAUCAUAUUCCUCCUAGUGAUCCUCCCUAAUUGUUGACACCUAUUGCAAUUGGCACAAAAUGAUGUGGCAUCCUUGAAUAGACUAGGCCAAUAGAAACCACAUUGGAGGACUUUGGCGGCCGUCUUUUUGCCUCCAAAAUGUCCUCCACAAGCUUGGUCAUGACAAAAUGACAGAACACUUCUAAACUCGUGGUCGGGUACACACCUCCUAAUGAUUUGAUCAGGACAAUAUUUGAACAAAUAGGGGUCAUCCCAAUAAAAGUGUUUGACUUGUGAAAGAAACUUGGAUCGUUCUUGUUUUGACCAAUGGGAAGGGAUCUCAUUAGUCACUAGGUAAUUCACAAUAUCAGCAAACCAAGGUGUAGCAGAUAUAGAGAAAAGCUGCUCAUCUGGGAAAGAUUCAUUUAAGGGUAGGUCAGAGUUGGACUCCACUACUAAAUGUGACAAAUGAUCAGCUAUCACGUUUUCAGACCCUUUUUUGUCUCGUAUCUCUAGGUCAAAUUCUUGGAGCAAUAAGACCCAACGAAUUAAACGGGCUUUUGAAUCUUUUUUGGAAAGAUGUUUGAGAGCAGCAUGAUCAGUGUAAACAAUUAUUUUAGACCCAAUAAGAUAAGAUCGAAACUUUUCUAGGGCAAAAACUACAGCUAGAAGUUCUUUUUCAGUAAUUGAAUAGUUCAAUUGAGCAUCAUUCAAAGUCCUACUAGCAUAGUAUAUGACAUGGGGAAUCUUGUUGAUUCUUUGCCCUAGAACAGCACCAACUGCAUAAUCAGAUGCAUCACACAUUAACUCAAAUGGUUGUCUCCAAUCAGGUGAUUUGAUGAUAGGAGCUGAAGUUAACUCUUUUUUGAGUUGUUCAAAGGAUUGAAGACAUUUUUCAUUAAAUUCAAAUUUUGCAUCUUUACCUAGAAGAUUGGUCAAGGGUCUUGCUUUCUUACUAAAAUCUUUAAUAAAUCGCCUAUAAAAGCCUGCAUGUCCUAGGAAAGAACGAAUUUCUUUGACUGUCCUAGGUGGUGGAAGAUUGGCAAUGAGGUCAAUUUUGGCUUUAUCUACUUCAAUUCUCUCUUCAGAUAUGAUGUGACCAAGAACAAUUCCUUUUUUUACCAUGAAAUGACAUUUUUCCCAAUUUAGGAUUAAGUUUUUUUUCUUACAUCUCCUUAGAACUAAGUCAAGGUGGUGAAGGCACUCAUGAAAUGUAGACCCAAAUAUGGAAAAAUCAUCUAUGAAAAUUUCUAGGAAUUUCUCUACCAUGUCAGAAAAAAUGCUCAUCAUGCAUCUUUGAAAGGUGGCAUGGGCACUACAUAACCCAAAGGGUAGACGACGAUAUGCAAAGGUUCCAUAAGGACAAGUGAAUGUGGUCUUUUCUUGGUCUUCCGGGGCUAUGGGAAUUUGAAAGUAGCCCGAGUAACCAUCAAAGAAACAAUAAUAAGCAUGGCCAGCUAAUCUUUCUAGAAUUUGGUCUAUGAAGGGUAAAGGAAAAUGAUCCUUUCUUGUGGCAGCAUUGAGUUUUCUAUAGUCUAUGCAAACCCUCCAACCAGAUUGGACACGAGUGGGAACUAACUCAUUGGCUUCAUUUUGAACCACCGUUAAGCCAGACUUUUUAGGUACCACCUGAACAGGACUUACCCAUGAGCUAUCAGAAUUAGGAUAAAUGAUCCCGUUAUCAAGACACUUAAAGAAUUUCUUUCUUAAAAACCUCUUUUAGAACCGGGUUUAACCGCCUUUGUGGGUCUCUCACAGGUUUAGCAUCAUCUAUUAAGUGGAUCCUAUGUUGGACAAUGGUUGGACUGAUCCCCUUAAUAUCAGUUAUACUCCAUCCUAUGGUUUCCUUGUUUUCUCUCAAGAUAGUCAAUAACUCUUCCUCAUGUGUGUUUGUUAAAUCGGAAGCAAUGAUUACAGGAAGAGUUUUGGAGGGACCUAAAUAGGCAUAUUUAAGAUUAUCAGGCAGAGGUUUGAGUUCCAACUCUGGUGGACUCUUUUCAAGAGGUUCUGAAGAUUGCAAGAAUGACUCGGUCUCGGGUUCCCAAUAAGACAUUGAUGUUGAUGACGCUAUCAUUUCAUUAACCUCAUUUACAUAUUCUGUUUCAUCCCAAUUUUGACCAAAAUGAUUUAGACAAAAAUUAAAAAUUUCGUCUUCUACUGUAAGUUCAUUGUCGGACAUGUCCUGAAUCAUGUUCACCUCAACGGGUUGGUCAGAAAAAUCACAAGGUUGCUUUCCCACAUUAAACACAUUUAAAUUAAUUGUCAUGUUCCCAAAUGUCAAUUUCAUUAGUCCAUUUCUACAGUUGAUUAACGCAUUAGAAGUUGCUAGAAAUGGUCUACCUAAAAUUAGAGGAAUUUGACCCUUGGGAUUGACAACAGGCUGGGUUUCAAGGACAACAAAGUCAACAGGGAAGACAAAAUCACCAACCUUAAUAAGUACAUCUUCAACUAUUCCUUUUGGCACUUUAAUGGAACGGUCAGCUAGUUGGAGUGUGACACUUGUCUUUUUCAACUCUCCUAAGCCUAAGGUUUCGUACACAGAAAAUGGUAACAGGUUCACACUAGCUCCUAAAUCAAGCAAAGCUUUUUCAAUUAAUGUGUCACCUAUGAUGCAUGAAAUAGUAGGACAACCGGGGUCCUUAUAUUUCACAGGGACUUGACAUGACAAGAUAGAACUCACAUGGGCUGUUAGAAAAGCUUUCUUAGGAACAUGAGUGGUUCUUUUAUGUGUGCACAAAUCUUUUAGACAUUUAGCAUAUGAGGGAACUUGUUGAAUGACAUCUAAAAGAGGAAUGUUAAUUUUCACUUAUUUGAACACUUCUAGAAUUUUGUCCAGCUGGGCUGACUGCUUGUUUGAAAUAAGUCUUUGAGGGAAUGGGGCUUUUGGUUUGAAGACUUUUUCAGUUGACUCAUAAGGUGUGGUUGAAUCAUGUUUUGAAACAUGAUUAGUGGAUGGGCCUACUGACUCAAAGUUUGUGGGCUUUUCAGGUUGGGCUGACUUUGAAGAUGGAUUAUUAGAUUCAACAUUAAAAUUUUUCUCUUCAUUAUCAAUUCCAGCAUGAUUGUUAAAAUAAUUUUCAGACCCUAAAGAGAUUACAGAAUUCACAUGAUUGACUUGGUUGUUUUCAAGUGAAUUAACAUGAUAAGGUUUUUGAGUAGGGACUGAAAAUUUUAGAUUGGUCUCGGGUUGACUAGGAAGUUUACCCUUCUCUCUUUCACUAACUGCAGUGGCCAAUUGACUCAUUUGGAUCUCUAGGCGAGAAAUGGCUUGGUUAGUGCUUUGGUGAGAUUUUAUUAAAGUUUCCACACUCUUCUCUAAGGUGCCAAGUCUCCUCUCACUUUCAUUAGAAACACCAGGUGGAUAUUGAGGUGCUGGAUUUGAAUUUUGGUACGGACCAGGAUUUGACUUUUGGUAAGGUUGAAAAGAUUGAUUUAGAGACUGAUUGACCUGAUUUGAAGAAUUAUUUGGGUAGGGUCCUUGGUUCCAUGCAAAAUUAGGAUGAUUCCUCCAACCAGGAUUAUAAGUGGGUGCAAAUGGGUCAUUCCUAGGUCGUUGAAACAUUGCAUUGACUUGUUCAUAUUCUUCAAAUUGGGGCACGACUCUAGGACAUUCCUCAAUCACAUGGCUUGGUGAAUUACACUUUAGACACAAAGGUGUAGGUGUUGAGACUUGGUUCACGUGUGAUCCCCUAGUUUCUAAAUCUUCAAGUCUUUUAAGUACACCAGCCAACUUAACUUCUGUAGCAAUUGAAUUGUCAAUUGUAUGAACACCCCUAGAUGAACUAGGUUUAUCUGUCUCUCGGGUGGUUUCCCAUUGCAUGGUUUUUUCUGCUAAGUCUUCUAAAAACUCCCAAGCCUUUUCCUCAUCAUUAUUCAAAAAAUCCCCUUGACACAUUGACUCUAACAUUGUUUUAGUGGGAUAGUCUAAACCUUCGUAAGCAAUUUGACACAAUCUCCAUUUCUCAAUUCCGUGGUGUGGGCACUGGGAUAACAAAUUUUUAAAUCUAUCAAAAUAUUUCCAAAAGGACUCUUUUUCAAGUUGGCAAAAUUGAUGAAUUGCAGUCCUAAUUUUAGCAGUUUUAUGAUUUGGAAAAUAUUUUUUUAGAAAUGUAACGACAAAUCCCUCCCAGGUUGAUAUGGAAUUAUUUGGUAGGCUAUAUAACCACUUUUUAGCAUUAUCUUUUAAAGCAAAUGUUAUAAAUCUUAGCCUAAUUGAGUCAUCAGACAAUUGUUGAAUUUUCAUUAAGGCACAAACUUCCUCAAAUUCCUGAAUAAAUAAAUAUGCAUCUUCUAUCCCCGUAAACCUAGGUAACAUAUUUAUAAAAUGUGGCUUAAGUUCAAAAUUGUUACCAGUUACCGGUGGUAGACUAAUACAUGAAGGUUGGGCAGAGCGGGAAGGAUAACAUCGAUCCCUUAAAGAAACAGUUUGGGCGCCCUCCAUUUUUGUUAAAGUGAGAUCUUUUAAAGUGAAAUCCGAAAAAUCAAGUUUUCUCACUAAUCGGGAUGUUUCGUCCCUAAUCCACACUUUUUGCAUACACUAAUUAACAAAUAAUCAGAUAAGCACAAAAAAAAUAAAAAAUAAAAAAAAAAUUACUUCUAAGGUUAACCUAAAUAAAAUCUAGACAGCUCCUAACUGUUCCAAGUUACACCGCAAGGUCCACCAAAUUCGAAAUUAAUCAUACCACUAGCCAGGUAAGUGUAAGAAAGGCGGGAGUCUCUCCGUAGAUACGGUGACUAAUUAAAUAACCACACAAUCUUUAGGCGUAUACCUUUUGAACCACUUGCCUAGACACCAGUAGUUUGAUUAAUUUAAAAUUCAGACUCCUCUUGGAGUUUCUUGUCCUAAUUGAGCUCGAGAGUCCUAGGGGCCAACGUCUACUUGAUUUUAUUAGGUCAUGGUUAUGCAAAAUGCAAAUUGGGUUGUUUGUGGGCCAAGGAAGGGUGAUGAAAUCCCCACCUUAUCUUGUUACAGGUUGUGCCCUUAAUGUUAGAUUAAAGAUGAAAAUGCACAAAUAAAAAAAACUAUAAACAAAUAAAAUGUCCUAAAACUAUGUGAAUUACGAAAGAAGGAGAAAUUUUGACGUACCUCAAUCCUCCAGCAAUCACCACAGUUUAUAUUUGACAAAAAUAAAAUAAAAUAAAAUAAAUAAAACCUAACAGGAUGUGCUCUACGUGAGUGAAUGCAUGAAUGCGACAAAUAAAAAAAUAUAUAAAAAAACUAAACUACUAUUUUAUUUUAUUUUUAAAAAAAAUAUGGAGAUACGAAGUACCGAAGAAAGCACAGCAAAAAAAUCUUUAUCUUUUCGCUUCUUCGAUUCCGCUUCAAUAAUCCUGAAAAAAAAUGAGUUAAAACUAAUUCGAAUAAAUAAAAAUUAAGGAAUAAAUAAAAAUUAAGUCUAGUCCUCGGCAACGGCGCCAAAAACUUGAUGUGUUAAAAAUAUGUACUGCAAGUGCACAGUGUCUAAUUGAAGAUCUGGCAAGUACAGGUCGAACCCACAGAGACUAGAUUAAUUCUUUAAUAUAUGAAUUAAUAUUUUAGGCAAAUUAGAAACAAAAAUGGUGGAGAAGAUUUUUUAACUAAAUUAUGCAAACUAUUAAUUAAUAAUGAAAACUAUUAAUGAGAAAAGAUAUCUAGGAAUUAGAAUCCACCAAACAUUAACAUAAUAAAUAAUUUCAUAUUUCCUAAAUCAAUUCCUAAAUUAUUUCCCCUUCCCUUUAAAAAUAAUGAUUCAUAUAAUUAAUAUGGGCAAGCAUAAGUUAUGAAAAAUUCAAAGAUUAACUAUAACUUAUUAAAACCUCGCAAUCAAUAUAAAAAUCAUAUGCAAUUUAUGCGGAGGAAAAUAUGAAGGUGAGAAUAAUUAUGCAUUAAUUUUGGAACGGAAAGAAAAUAUUGUUAUGAAAUACUUAGCUUCAUCAUAAUCCUAGGUAUUAGAAAUUUAGCUAGCCAUGAAAUUAAAAAUAAAAACAAAUAAUAUUAGUACUACUAUUCGCAUGAAAUAAGAACAGUAAUUAAAAAGAGAAUUUUUAUUAUGUAAAUAAAAGAAAGAUACAAAUACUCCUUGACAGUAGUACCACACGUGAUUGAAAUAAGAGAAAGGACAAACUCUCAAUAUCUUACUCCCUCCUACACUAGUGAAAAACUGAGAAAAAGAAAAUAAAAAGUGGUGCCUUUCUCUCUAAAACAAGAGGCCUAUUUAUAGGGAAACUAACUUUGAACCCUAAUUUAGAUUCAUUGAACUUGGACACUUUGAUUCCCUUUCCAUGUAGGAUUCAACUUCCUAGUACAAUCAACUUCUCAAAAAGAUCUUCUAGAUAGACUUUUCUUUCUCUUGUUGGAUUUGACUUGCACACUAAGAUUAUUCCACCUCUUUCCUUCUCCUUGUAGGAUUCUUCUUGGACAUUCCUUAUAUGAAUAAGAGCAUUAAAUAUCGCUUGAUCACCAAAAUUUUGACUUUAUUGCAACAAACAUUAAAUCCUAUAAAAUAAAAUAAAACAUAUUAAUUUAAUAAACUAAUAUAAUUAAAAGGACAAAAUUAGGGAUAAUUAAAUGUAUGAAUUACGUCUAUCAGUGCCCCAUGAUGGUUUUAAAUGCAUAAUAGAAAUUUUCAACACUAUUUUACAGGUGCUAUUUCAGAUGGGUUGAAAUGUUGCAGCAGAUUUUUCUCGUAUAUUUUUUUAUUUAUGAGAUGCAAUCUCAAGGCCAUGGACCAGACCUUCGACAUGCAGUAUCUUGUUAGGUGGCCAUUGUAAGAAUCGGUGUUACUGAUGAAGCUCUGUCGUUAUUUCACAUGAUGGUAUGUAAAAGUUUCUGAUAUUAUUAUUAUCAGACUUCAUUGCUGGAUUGUGCAAUAAUAGAAAGCUUGAUUAGACAAUAAAACAUUUAGAUAACCUUCCUUCAAAAGGAUUUCAACCAGAUAUUAAGAUAUACACAAUGAUGAUCCGAAGAUUUUGUUAAGCAGGAUCAACUCUUGAUGCUAUGCGUCAGAAGUUCUUGCCAUUGGUAAGUGACUUGCAUCAUUAUGUCUUUUGAUGACGAUGCAAGUUCCAGGCUAUGUAUCUGAUCUAAAUGGUUUCCAUUAGUAACUCACGUUUUUACGUUGUAGUCAAAUGUGAAUAACGGUUUCUUGAUUUUGCUUUUGGGUAAUUCUGUGUUGAUUUAUGGAAAUGUAUAUCAUGUUUUGUCAAAGUAUUCCCCGCUGAACCUUCUCUUUUGUUAUGCUCGAAGGAUCAUACCUAGAUUCCUGAAAAAACCUCUUUUUGGCUCGUGUGAACCUUUUCCAGAUGCUUCGUACUCUUUUUUCGCGUGUUCGCUAUUUUUGCGAGCUUUUUCGUGUUGUCUAUAUCAUGUGUUGUGGCCUUGUUGUGGUCCUUAUUACACUAACGAAAGAACAAAUGGAUAUAUUUUUGGACAUCUUUUAAAGUAGACUACUUAAUUUUUUAUUUUGUUUUUUGUUUUUUUACAGCGUUUGAUUGAUCGGUGCUGGUGUGCUGCUAACCCGAACAAAUUUGAGAACCAAUGAAGGAAGGACAUGUAGUGGAGAUCCAAAGAAUCCAGAAUUAAUUCGUGUUGAAGGAUAGCAGUAGAAUAUUCCAUUCUUGGGUAUUUCACAAUUGCAAUUCCUUUAAUAUAUAUAAACUUUUGGUUUUUUUCACCUAAUAGUUAAGAAUAUUUACAUGAAUGUGUUUUUUUUUCUUUUUUUAAAUUAUCUUCUGAUUUUUACAUUGUGCUAUUUUAUUACUUCAAUUUAUUGGCCUACUUGCAAAAAAGAUGGUGAACAAAAGUCUAAUUUUUUGAUGACCACCACUUCAUCGUGAUCGCCUUCCUCUUCCAACCUCUUACAAACCAAUCGAUAAUCCACUAAGAUAAGAUAACAGAAGACCUAGAUUUCGUUUAGAAAAGUUAGGAGAAAUAGAAAGCUGGAAGAGAAAAUGUCAAUAACUAAAACACAAUCAUAUAGAGGGUGAAGCAAAUCAAAAAUCAAUAAAUGUGAGUAAUAGCAGAUCAAGUUAUAUACCUUCAGGUUUUCCUUUUAUGAUCUGCAUGGGGUAGGUGCAAAGAAGCGAGAUGGAAAAUAUCAGAGGGUCGGUGCUUGUUGAGAAAACAACUCUAUAUGUCUCAAUUUGACAUGACAUAUUAGAAGUGAGAUUCAUUGGAAUUAUUGUGAACGGCAUGGGAGGAUCGAAGGCAUUAUGAUUCAUAGAAAAAGGGGAAGCAGAGCUAAUUGCUUUUGGUUUGUAAAAUUUGAGAAAAAAGACAAAUGCAGUCGAAGCACAAAAAUGGUUGUUUAGAAGAUGUAUCGUUCAUCAUAGAGUUUAUAUCGAGUUUGCAAGAAGGGAAUUGAGAUGUCAGAAAGAACAUCCAUUGCAUUUGAAGUAUAAAGUUUUAAAGCAUAAGGAGAAAAUGAGGGUUCCUUCAAUGAAAAAACUUGCAGAUCGACCAAAUGAAGAGGUAAAAAAUUAUUAGAAUAGUUGUUGGUUUUUUGUUACCAAGGAGAAACUAGCUCUAAUGGAUUUGAAAAUUUGUAUAUUAAAUUCAAAAAAGUGAUUAUGAAUAUUGUAAAGUGGGGGGUUAAUGGGUUGAUUGUGGUGAGUGCUAAUGAGGAGGAAAGUCUUAAAGUGGAGCAUGUAGGUUUGAGAAUUUUUUUUGUUGAAGUGGAGAAUUUGGGCAUUGAGUUUGCGAAGAAGAUUGAUGUAGCAAGCCGUUGAUUCAAACACAUCGACGAACAAAUUAUGCUUUCAUUUAGGGAUCAAACAUACCGUCUUAAAGUCGAGUUAGAACAGGAAGGUGAAUAUUGAUCAAGUAGUGUUGGUAUGUGGUGUAGCCGUGUAGGGAGGAGGAAGAUAAUGGGUCAUUUUAAAAAGAUCAUAGACAAAUAAACUGUGAUGACUUUUUUUGUGUCUAACGGGCUUGAUCAUCUGACAAAGGGUAAUAGGUGUUCGAAUGCUGCUUUGAUAGCAAAUAGUAAUCAAAAUGAGGCUUGAUCUUUGUUUUGUAUUAUUCUGCUUGAUCGACUCUUAAUUGAUCUGAAUGGCCUGAAACUGAUUCGGUAAGUUAUUCAGCCUGUUUGUUUAGGUUAGAUCAGGGUUUGGAUGUGUCAAAAUGUUUCUGACCGAAUUAGCUAAAUUGGCCCAAUUUAUUCGGCCAGUUGGCCAAUUUAAUGAAAUAUUUACAUAAAUUCCUUUUCAAAUUAAAAAAAAUUACUUUGAUAUCUAAUUAGCGAUUACUCUCGUCUCCAGACUUAAUAAAGGAAUUAAGCUAAGUCGUUGUGCACCACCUGUUUCACACCUCUUUUUUGCAUAUGUUUGCAAUAUUUACUUCCCAAAUGAUCUCUGUACUCGUCUCCAUAUCAAGGAAAUUUUCCAGGGAUAUUCUAAAGCCUCAGGACUAUUAAUAAAUUUUCAAAAAUUAGGCCUUUUUGUUAGUCCAGCAGUUCUGGACACUCGUGCUACUCUCUUUCAGGAUAUUUUUGAUAUUGGCUCCAUACCGGUGUCUCAAAAAUAUAUUGGACUGCCUUUUACUCUUACUUGCAACAAGAAGUAAGAUUUCUUAUUCUUCAAGGAUAAACUUGAGCAUAAACGUCAAACAUGGAAAUCAAAACUGUUAACGCCACCUGAGCACAAUGUUCUUCUGAAAUCCACUCCGGCUACCAUACCUAUUUAUACUCUCGGUGCAUUUCUUUUAUCCUCUACCUUGAUUCAUGAGCUUCACUGUAUUGUCAGAGCAUUUUGAUAGGGUCAUGAUCAAUUCCGCACACAGAUUGCCUAAGAUAAGAUUACUCAUCCUAAAUUUGAGGGAGUUCUAGGCGUUUGAGAUUUUUCUUGUUUGAAUAUGGCCCUUCUUGCCAAACAUGUUUGGCAUUUGUUGGAAAAUCCUUCUUCUUUGCUGGCUAAUAUUCUUUUGCCCAAAAUUGAAUUUUCUCCAUUCUAAACUUAAACUUUCCUACUCUUGGGUAUGGAAUGGAAUUUUGGUUGAAAAGGAUAUUUUGAUGCACGGUUUAGCGAAAGCUAUUGGUUCGGAACAUUAAUUCUACCAACAUAUUGUCUGAGUUUUGGGGAGGAUCGAAAGAUAAGCUUCUUAUUCCACCUAUUUAUUUUGCACUCUUCAGUGAUGACUUUGAUAAACAAACUGUCAAUCUUUUUCUUGAUGAGGAUUCAAAGCAAUGGAGCUUGGCCAAAAUCCAACAGCUGAUUCUUCCAUAACAAUGGCAUUUGAUUUUAGCAACUCCUGUUUUGUUUUUUACCUCAUUCUGAUAAUUUUUAUUGAAAAUUUGGAUCUAAAGUUGUUUUCUCUGUAAAAUCUGCAUGCAGGCGGGCAGUUUCUUUUUCUCUGCGCGGGGAAAAAAAAAUCUGAGCAAGAUGGGAGCU